GCCGGGGUGGCGGAAUUGGUAGACGCGCUGGACUUAAAAUCCAGUGGCCGCAAGGUCGUGCGGGUUCGAGUCCCGCCCCCGGCACCA
rnacentral:tRNA from 1 species